GGGGAAUAUUGCACAAUGGGGGAAACCCUGAUGCAGCGACGCCGCGUGGAGGAAGAAGGUCUUCGGAUUGUAAACUCCUGUCGUUAGGGACGAUAAUGACGGUACCUAACAAGAAAGCACCGGCUAACUACGUGCCAGCAGCCGCGGUAAAACGUAGGGUGCAAGCGUUGUCCGGAAUUACUGGGUGUAAAGGGAGCGCAGGCGGACCGGCAAGUUGGAAGUGAAAACUAUGGGCUCAACCCAUAAAUUGCUUUCAAAACUGCUGGCCUUGAGUAGUGCAGAGGUAGGUGGAAUUCCCGGUGUAGCGGUGGAAUGCGUAGAUAUCGGGAGGAACACCAGUGGCGAAGGCGACCUACUGGGCACCAACUGACGCUGAGGCUCGAAAGCAUGGGUAGCAAACAGGAUUAGAUACCCUGGUAGUCCAUGCCGUAAACGAUGAUUACUAGGUGUUGGAGGAUUGACCCCUUCAGUGCCGCAGUUAACACAAUAAGUAAUCCACCUGGGGAGUACGACCGCAAGGUUGAAACUCAAAGGAAUUGACGGGGGCCCGCACAAGCAGUGGAGUAUGUGGUUUAAUUCGAAGCAACGCGAAGAACCUUACCAGGUCUUGACAUCCGAUGCAUAGUGCAGAGAUGCAUGAAGUCCUUCGGGACAUCGAGACAGGUGGUGCAUGGUUGUCGUCAGCUCGUGUCGUGAGAUGUUGGGUUAAGUCCCGCAACGAGCGCAACCCUUAUUGCCAGUUACUACGUAAGAGGACUCUGGCGAGACUGCCGUUGACAAAACGGAGGAAGGUGGGGAUGACGUCAAAUCAUCAUGCCCUUUAUGACCUGGGCUACACACGUACUACAAUGGCGUUUAACAAAGAGAAGCAAGACCGCGAGGUGGAGCAAAACUCAAAAACAACGUCUCAGUUCAGAUUGCAGGCUGCAACUCGCCUGCAUGAAGUCGGAAUUGCUAGUAAUCGUGGAUCAGCAUGCCGCGGUGAAUACGUUCCCG
rnacentral:rRNA from 1 species